UACACUCCCCUCUUGUUACCAUCCCGGCCCCCGUGCUCUCAUUCUGCCCCUGUUGGUCUUAGGGGUGCGCACGCGUGUAAAGACCGUCACCCGCUUGGGCCUCCUUCCUGAGCUGACUUCCUAGACGUCCCUGAAAGAGUAAACAGGAUGAUUAUAUUUUGGGCCUCCGUGGGAAAAGAAGCAAGAGAUUGGGAUCUACAGGAGUUGAGCCAAGAGAAGCCAAGGAAAAUGUGUGAAUUCCCUUAGCUGUAUCCUAGAUUAGGAAGUAUGGGGUAGCCCUUAGCUAAAACUUGAUUCCUGGACAGCUUUAGUGGAAAUGAGACUGGCAGACUAAGCUUUUACUGCCACCUGGUGGUAUCUAUCCUAAAAUGGCUCAUGCUUGUUGGACUUGGGGGAUGGGGGGGUUCCUGCCUACCCAGUUCUGGGGCAGGAGAUGGGGCACACCUAGACUACUGCUCUGGGCUAGCACUUUAAAAUAUUCUUGCCUAUUUGGAAUUAUGCCCAAAGGGCUUUAAAAGACAAUGCCCUUUGAUCCAUCCAUACCACUGAUAGGUUUGUACUCCCAAAGAGAUAAUAAGGAAAAAUACUUGUACAAAAAUAUUCGUAGUGGCACUCAUUGUGGUGGCAAAAAAAAAAUGGAAAAUGAGAGGAUGCCCUUCAUUUGGGGAAUGGCUGAACAAAUUGUAUCUGUUGGUGAUAGAAUACUAUUAUGCUUAAAGGAAUAAUGAAUUGGAGGGAUUCCAUGUGAACUGGAAGAACCUCCAGGAACUGAUGCAGAGUGAGAGGAGCAGAACCAGGAGAACAUUGUACGCAGACACAGAUACACUGUGGUACAGUUGAAUGUAAUGGACUUGUCUACUAGGAGCAAUGCAAGGAUCCAGGACAAUUCUGAGGAACUUGUGAGAAAGAAUGCUACCCACAUUCAGAGGAAGAACUGUGGGAGCAGAAACAGAAGAAAAAACAACUGCUUGAUCACAUGGGUCAAUGGGGAUAUGAUUGGGGAUGUAGACUCUAAAUGAUCACUAUUGUAAAUAUUAAUAAUAUGGAAAUAGAUAUUGAUCAAUGAUACAUGUGAAACUCACUGGAAUUGCUUGUUGGCUACAGGAGGGGGAAAGGAGGGGAGGGAAAGAACAUGAAUCAUGUAACCAUGGAAAAAUAUUCUAAAUUAAUUAAAUUAAAAAAAAGAAAAAUAUUCUUGCCUGCCAGGCUAAUAGUUAACUUCAUGGUCCUACCGUCAGAAUAAAAGGUGGAAAUAAUCCUUUACAAAUCUC